CUGACAGAAGAGAGUGAGCACACAGCGGUGAUUGCAUCGAUCUGAUGCCGUUCCUGUUGCGUGCUCAUUUCUCUUUCUGUCAG
rnacentral:pre_miRNA from 1 species